rnacentral:lncRNA from 1 species
AUGAGAUCUCAUGCCCUCUGCUGGCAUGCAGGCAGAAGACUGUGUACAUAAUAAAUAAAUAAAAUCUUUUUAAAAAAUGCUAAAUACGCCGAGCAUUGUACAUUCACAUUAGUCAACCAUCAUUUUUAGAUUCUAGAACUUUUCCCUUUCACACUACCCAAAGGAACCUGGUACCUACUGGUCAUCUCUCCCUGGCACUCUUCCUCCUCAGCAUGUUUCUGUGGACUGAUAUGGCUUGACCUUUGGUCAACAGUAGCAUCUGUUCAUUUGGAACCUCCAGCUCCUGCUACAUGAUCCAGAAAGCCCCUUUCCUGUUUCUCUCUCCAAACCCCGCCCACUCAGAGAGUCUCCAAACAAAAACUAGUUCUGCAUCGUUGGCAGCUAUUGCAGCUUCUUCCCCUGAAGUUGUUCAGCUGCCCAAGUCCCUCUGCCCCAAAGUGCCCAGCUUUUGACUAUACUUGGGCAAAACCCAGCUUGUGACAGACAUGUCAUCACCCCUUACCCACAACCUAUAAAGUCCCUGCUUUCAUUUGUGGGCGUGGCUUGUUGCCUGGGUAAUUGCUUUGCUCAAAUAAACCUGUUGUUAUACUUUUUAAAUUCAGCUUGAUCUGGCCUACUGCAUUGGCAGAGAAACAUGGGGAUUUGGGGUGGAGAGAGAUGGUGGGUGGGGUAUAGAAAACCUAUUAGCACCUUUUUGUGUCAGUGCUGUUUCCAAGGUUCAUCACACAGUAAUAUAGGUCAGUGUGUACACCUUUGUAUUACCAAGUGUCAAACGCUCAUGUGCAAAGCCCCAGUACUACCCACACUUGUUACUUAAUACACACUGAUGGAGCUGCUAAGAUGUUGCAACCUGUAAAACAGAACUGUCAAGCUCACUCCUUGCCUCCUGCCUUCCCCUGCUCUUCAUCACAGGCAACAAGAGAAAGCACACAGGCCGAGCGCUGUUUGUAUGUCCUAAGUCAGAGGUCUCCUGCCACUGCUCCCAUGACACCCAGCACAUAGUAAAUGCUGUUGGGCGAACUGAAUGGCCAGUGAGCGAAGGGGCCUCUGGAAGUAGAGGUGGUACCUGGGGCAGGGCAGUGGCAGAGCUGUCUGCCAUUUUCCAUUUUCUCUGCUUUACUUGAGGCUGUAUCUGGGAGCUGCAUGCAGAGCUCAGCAGGGGCGCUUGGAAGCAGCAUCAUGAUGGCUGAGUCUAAGCACAACCGAGAUCUAAAUGAAAUGCUACAUGGCACAGUCUGUGAUCCCAGCCUUGGGAGAGUGAGGCAGGGGGACUCCCUAAAAGUUCAUUUACAGAUGAAUACAUUGUCAUAUCCCAAACCAAGGACUUUUGGGGUUGCCCUGGUUAGUAUUCCGUACCCUGGUUGUUGUCUCUCACACACCAUGGCAGCUCCAGCUUGUUGAUGGCACUGUCCUCAGAUCACCCCCCCCCUUUUUUUUAGGUUUUUGAGACAGGGUCUCUCUAUGUAGCUCUGGCUGUC